rnacentral:rRNA from 1 species
GAUGAACGCUGGCGGCGUGCCUAAUACAUGCAAGUCGAGCGAAUGGAUUAAGAGCUUGCUCUUAUGAAGUUAGCGGCGGACGGGUGAGUAACACGUGGGUAACCUGCCCAUAAGACUGGGAUAACUCCGGGAAACCGGGGCUAAUACCGGAAAACAUUUUGAACCGCAUGGUUCGAAAUUGAAAGGCGGCUUCGGCUGUCACUUAUGGAUGGACCCGCGUCGCAUUAGCUAGUUGGUGAGGUAACGGCUCACCAAGGCAACGAUGCGUAGCCGACCUGAGAGGGUGAACGGCCACACUGGGACUGAGACACGGCCCAGACUCCUACGGGAGGCAGCAGGAGGGAAUCUUCCGCAAUGGACGAAAGUCUGACGGAGCAACGCCGCGUGAGUGAUGAAGGCUUUCGGGUCGUAAAACUCUGUUGUUAGGGAAGAACAAGUGCUAGUUGAAUAAGCUGGCACCUUGACGGUACCUAACCAGAAAGCCACGGCUAACUACGUGCCAGCCGCCGCCGUAA